GGUUAAGCGACUAAGCGUACACGGUGGAUGCCCUGGCAGUCAGAGGCGAUGAAGGACGUGCUAAUCUGCGAUAAGCGUCGGUGAGGUGAUAUGAACCGUUAUAACCGGCGAUUUCCGAAUGGGGAAACCCAGUGUGUUUCGACACACUAUCAUUAACUGAAUCCAUAGGUUAAUGAGGCGAACCGGGGGAACUGAAACAUCUAAGUACCCCGAGGAAAAGAAAUCAACCGAGAUUCCCCCAGUAGCGGCGAGCGAACGGGGAGGAGCCCAGAGCCUGAAUCAGUGUGUGUGUUAGUGGAAGCGUCUGGAAAGGCGCGCGAUACAGGGUGACAGCCCCGUACACAAAAAUGCACAUAUUGUGAGCUCGAUGAGUAGGGCGGGACACGUGGUAUCCUGUCUGAAUAUGGGGGGACCAUCCUCCAAGGCUAAAUACUCCUGAC
rnacentral:rRNA from 1 species